rnacentral:lncRNA from 1 species
CUCUUCACCUUAUCUUUUCGCCUUUGUUAACGCAUUAUUAUUAAUAUUAUUAAAUUUGAUGCGACUGUCGUACAAGUGAGAGGUUUGGCGCUGUAAAACCAGAUUCAAUUCACCCUUUUCUACAUUAUACAGUUUCUGACGAAUUCGAUGGUGUCAAAAGUCCUUAUAAGGGCAAUAUCCAAUGAACAAAUAAUUGACCUCUUCACCUUAUCUUUUCGCCUUUG